CUUGCAAGAGACUGUCCAAGUGUCCUUCAUUCAGGUUCGUCACUUCCAAGUCCCGGGGAGAAAAACCCCAACAAGGGGCGCCCGAACAGGGACUUGAGAGGAAGGCUGAACAAAGCGACGAGCCCCUGCAGAAAGAGAUGGAGAGGAAAUCUGGGUUCCCCUUCGCCAUGUCCACUACUGAGAAGGACCCCAAGACCGGACUCCCUCGGGAAGUGAUGAAGUUGACGCAAAGGGUCUCGUCAAUGACCCUGGAGGAGCCAAUGAGGAAACGCCAUCGUCUGAAUCCUUAUCCAACAUGGGCUCAAGUGAAAACAUGACUCAUCAGGCUGAGCAGACACUGAAGAGUACUGGAACUCCUAUGACUCCAGAUAAGCUGUUUCUGGCAAUGUAAACUGUUCUGAAGAGCAGGAGGAACAUCAUAAUUGCUCCUGGUUUAAUAGAUCAAGCAUUGGAGGCUUUCAUAAAUCUAAGACAAGUUUCUGGACUGAUAAGGACAUACUGCUGAAUUGUAUAACGGGGGCUUAUCACCCCCACGACCCAGGAUUGUCAUCCCCAUUGUGGGGCCAGAGCAAUGGCACAUUUGGAAAAUUCCAGCAGCCUUAGAGCACUUCGCUACUGUUUAUGAGACUGUGGGUGUGUUUCGUCCUUCUAAUUAUACCUUCCUAUAUAAUAGUACUGGCUAUACUCAAUCGUGUGUUCACCUUCCGUACUUGUUUAUUGUAGGGCAUUUUGAUAUUGACUUAUCAGCCAAGAUUGUCAAUUGUACUGCAUGUGCAUUGUAUACCUGCCUUAAUCACACCAUUUCAUAUCACAAUGCUAGCAUUGCGCUAGUUAAACAAAGAUCUGAGUUA